rnacentral:rRNA from 1 species
UACGCAGGGGGCUAGCGUUGUUCGGAAUUACUGGGCGUAAAGGGCGCGUAGGCGGCGUGUCAAGUCAGGCGUGAAAUCCCCGGGCUCAACCUGGGAACCGCGCUUGAGACUGGCAUGCUCGAGUUCGGGAGAGGAUGGUGGAAUUCCCAGUGUAGAGGUGAAAUUCGUAGAUAUUGGGAAGAACACCGAUGGCGAAGGCAGCCAUCUGGACCGACACUGACGCUGAGGCGCGAAAGCGUGGGGAGCAAACAGG